CGUCCGCUGCGUUCGCGGGGGUUUUAUUUCCUUGAACCGAUGCUCUCGCGAGCCUGGGCUUGGAACAUCGACCAGCUGGUGUGAUCGUCUCGCGUCAGAUGAACCCGAAGCCGGUCUGACCUCGCCCACCUGAAUCCCCUGGGUUCAGGAAUGCGGCCUUCGGUUCGCAGCGGACAC
rnacentral:other from 1 species